UAUCUGCUUGAAAUGGAAUGCACGGGA
rnacentral:piRNA from 1 species